rnacentral:rRNA from 1 species
UACGUAGGGGGCAAGCGUUGUCCGGAAUCAUUGGGCGUAAAGCGCGUGUAGGCGGCCAGAAAAGUCCGCUGUGAAAACUCGAGGCUCAACUUCGAGCUGUCGGUGGAAACUUUCUGGCUAGAGUCCGGAAGAGGAGAAUGGAAUUCCUGGUGUAGCGGUGAAAUGCGCAGAUAUCAGGAAGAACACCAGUGGCGAAGGCGGCUCACUGGUCCGGUACUGACGCUGAGGUGCGAAAGCGUGGGGAGAAAACAGG